AGUGAACGCUGGCGGUAGGCCUAACACAUGCGAGUCGAACGGCAGCACAGUAAGAGCUUGCUCUUACGGGUGGCGAGUGGCGGACGGGUGAGGAAUACAUCGGAAUCUACUUUUUCGUGGGGGAUAACGUAGGGAAACUUACGCUAAUACCGCAUACGACCUACGGGUGAAAGCAGGGGAUCUUCGGACCUUGCGCGAUUGAAUGAGCCGAUGUCGGAUUAGCUAGUUGGCGGGGUAAAGGCCCACCAAGGCGACGAUCCGUAGCUGGUCUGAGAGGAUGAUCAUCAACACUGGAACUGAGACACGGUCCAGACUCCUACGGGAGGCAGCAGCGGGGAAUAUUGGACAAUGGGCGCAAGCCUGAUCCAGCCAUACCGCGUGGGUGAAGAAGGCCUUCGGGUUGUAAAGCCCUUUUGUUGGGAAAGAAAAGCAGCAGGUUAAUACCCCGCUGUUCUGACGGUACCCAAAGAAUAAGCACCGGCUAACUUCGUG
rnacentral:rRNA from 1 species